rnacentral:lncRNA from 1 species
UUUGUGUUAAUAACAUCGCACUCAUAAAUGCAUACGAUCUUCUACUCAAUACGUCAGCUACCACGUUCGCUCUUCCACGAUGAUAUUGAAUGGUAUGUUCGUAAUCUUCAACAGCUCGAGCCAACGUCUUUGGCGAAUUAUACGUUCGUUUUGGUUGAAGAAAUAUUUAAGGGUUUUAGAAAUGGGUUUUGUAUUGGGGUCAAUACAAAAUUCGAUUUCACGCUCUAGGGUAGGCUAGGAAGUCUUCAAGAAUACGUCAGGAAAUUUAUUAACAAUAGAAAUAUCAUUCAAAACUGUGACUCUCAUCCAAGACUUAGAUAACACGUCACAUUAAUACCUAUUAACUUGCCACUAUUAUUCACGCGUCCACUACGGAAAGUUCGACUUCGGUGCAUUCCACACAAGGAAGUCACCAGCGAAAGGCUCGGGGCUAUUUACGUAUGGCUUGAUAUGACAAUGAUUGACUUUUAGUGGUUUGGUUGCUUGAAUUUUUAUAAUAGGUUGGUUAGGAAUAUGGAAG